rnacentral:rRNA from 1 species
CAAACGGGAGGCUGCAGUGGGGAAUAUUGGACAAUGGGGGGAACCCUGAUCCAGCCAUGCCGCGUGUGUGAAGAAGGCCCUCGGGUUGUAAAGCACUUUCAGUGAGGAAGAACGCCUGGUGGUUAAUACCCAUCAGGAAAGACAUCACUCACAGAAGAAGCACCUGCUAACUCCGUGCCAGCAGCCGCGGUAAUACGGAGGGUGCGAGCGUUAAUCGGAAUUACUGGGCGUAAAGCGCGCGUAGGUGGCUUGAUAAGCCGGUUGUGAAAGCCCCGGGCUCAACCUGGGAACGGCAUCCGGAACUGUCAAGCUAGAGUGCAGGAGAGGAAGGUAGAAUUCCCGGUGUAGCGGUGAAAUGCGUAGAGAUCGGGAGGAAUACCAGUGGCGAAGGCGGCCUUCUGGACUGACACUGACACUGAGGUGCGAAAGCGUGGGUAGCAAACAGGAUUAGAUACCCCGGUAGUA